rnacentral:rRNA from 1 species
AAUUUUGGACAAUGGGGGAAACCCUGAUCCAGCCAUCCCGCGUGUAUGAUGAAGUCCAUCGGGUAGUAAAGUACUUUUGGCAGAGAAGAAAAGGUACCUCCUAAUACGAGGUACUGCUGACGGUAUCUGCAGAAUAAGCACCGGCUAACUACUGGCCAGCAGCCGCGGUAAUACGUAGGGUGCAAGCGUUAAUCGGAAUAACUGGGCGUAAAGAGUGUGUAGGCGGUUCGGAAAGAAAGAUGUGAGAUCCCAGGGCUCAACCUUGGAGCUGCAUUUUUAACUGCCGAGCUAGAGUAUGUCAGAGGGGGGUAGAAUUCCACGUGUAGCAGUGAAAUGCGUAGAUAUGUGGAGGAAUACCGAUGGCGAAGGCAGCCCCCUGGGAUAAUACUGACGCUCAGACACGAAAGCGUGUGGAGCAAACA